CAAGAAUGUUUCCAUUAAUCAAGAACGAAAGUCAGAGGUUCGAAGGCGAUCAGAUACCGCCCUAGUUCUGACCAUAAACGAUGCCAGCCAGCGAUCCGGCUGCGUUCCUCAAAUGACGCGCCGGGCAGCUUCCGGGAAACCAAAGCUUUUGGGUUCCGGGGGGAGUAUGGUUGCAAAGCUGAAACUUAAAGGAAUUGACGGAAGCGCACACAAGAAAUGGGGCCUGCGGCUUAAUUUGACUCAACACGGUGCAACUCACCCGACCCGGACACAGGAAGGAUUGACAGAUUAAGAGCUCUUUCUUGAUUCUGUGACAGGUGGUGCAUGGCCGUUUCUAGUUGGUGGAGUGAUUUGUCUGCUUUAUUGCGAUAACGAGCGAGACUCUAGCCUACUAACUAGGCGCAGGCUUGUCCAUUGCGACGAGCCUCGUCUUC
rnacentral:rRNA from 1 species